rnacentral:rRNA from 1 species
AUUGAACGCUGGCGGCAUGCCUAACACAUGCAAGUCGAACGGGGUAGCAAUACCCAGUGGCGGACGGGUGAGGAAUACAUAGGAAUUUGCCUUUAGGUGGGGGAUAGCCCGGGGAAACUCGGAGUAAUACCGCAUGAUGUCGAAAGACCAAAGUAGGGGAUCGCAAGACCUUGCGCCUUUAGAGAAGCCUAUGUCUGAUUAGCUAGUUGGUAGGGUAAUGGCCUACCAAGGCGACGANCAGUAACUGGUCUGAGAGGACGAUCAGUCACACCGGAACUGAGACACGGUCCGGACUCCUACGGGAGGCAGCAGUGGGGAAUAUUGGACAAUGGGCGAAAGCCUGAUCCAGCAAUGCCGCGUGUGUGAAGAAGGCCU